UACGUAGGGUGCAAGCGUUAAUCGGAAUUACUGGGCGUAAAGCGUGCGCAGGCGGUGAUGUAAGACAGAUGUGAAAUCCCCGGGCUCAACCUGGGAACUGCAUUUGUGACUGCAUCGCUAGAGUACGGCAGAGGGGGAUGGAAUUCCGCGUGUAGCAGUGAAAUGCGUAGAUAUGCGGAGGAACACCGAUGGCGAAGGCAAUCCCCUGGACCUGUACUGACGCUGAGGCGCGAAAGCGUGGGGAGCAAACAGG
rnacentral:rRNA from 1 species